rnacentral:rRNA from 1 species
UACAGAGGUCUCAAGCGUUGUUCGGAUUCAUUGGGCGUAAAGGGUGUGUAGGUGGCGCCGUAAGUCGGGUGUGAAAUUUCGGAGCUUAACUCCGAAACUGCAUUCGAUACUGCGGUGCUUGAGGACUGGAGAGGAGACUGGAAUUCAUGGUGUAGCAGUGAAAUGCGUAGAGAUCACGAGGAAGACCAGUGGCGAAGGCGGGUCUCUGGACAGUUCCUGACACUGAGACACGAAGGCCAGGGGAGCAAACGGG